rnacentral:rRNA from 1 species
UUGGAGGUCGGGCCUCACAGGUAAGUGCCGUGUGACUUGGGUAUGCCCAUGGGUGGUUGGUUCGUGCUUCAUGGCCUGUUGGGGUGUGCUGGGCUCUUUUCCUCUUCUCGGCGGUCUUGGUUGUGUGUGUGAGCAUACGGAUUGCUUUCUCACCUGGUGGAUGAUGGAUGAUGUAUCUUGUUCUCAAGGACAUAUCUUUCUACAGUGCAUUCUCUUUUCAUUUCUGAACGGUUGUAGGAGUAGGUUCUUGCAGAAAGUUGUCUCUUCCUUUUCAGUACGGUAGAGGCAGUUUGGGACCGUCUUGGGACACCCUUCUGAUUGGUCCAUAACCUAGUUGGGACCCUUCGGGACUCGUGGGACCAGGCCCAAUGGGACAGGACCCUUCGGCCCCAAAUCUGUUGCCGUCAGUUGCAUUUCUUUGUUGUGAUGAAAUUGGGGGACACACGGCUAGUAGGCGAAUAAACUAGUUUGGACUGAAUUAACACAAAUAUGGCGAAGUGACAAUAAUCGCGUAAAAGGUUUUUUUUUUAAUUUAGUAAAUGGAGGCUACGCUGUAGCAAUUGCAGGUCAUAUAGCUUUUCUUCCUCAGAGUCCUCGAAAAAGCUGAAAAGUUUUUCAUAGUCAAUUGAGAAUGUUCUCAAUCUUUAAAAUGAAUCCAAAAAUUUUGAAUAUCGUAGUCAAAAAAAUAGGCGAACAAUCACGAAAAUGACCUUGGUAGUCCAUGUUGUAAAUGAUAAGUGUUGGUCCUUGGUCUACACCCGGUGGUUUUGGGGGGCGAUUCGAUGAGGGACCUAGCUAACGCGUUAAACACUCCGCCUGGGGAGUACGGUCGCAAGGCUGAAACUCAAAGGAAUUGGCAGGGGCCUGCACAAGCGGUGGAGCAUGUGGUUUAAUUUGAUACAAUGCGCAAAACCUUACCAGCCCUUGACAUAUGAAAGAAACUCCUUGUAAGAGAUGUACUUUGACUUCAUACAGGUGUUGCAUGGCUAUCAUCAGCUCGUGUCAUGAGAUGUUGGGUUAAGUCCGAUAACAAGCGCAACCCUCGUUUUAUGUUGCUAAGACAUCGCAACGGUGUGCUGCACUCACAAAAAACAAGCAGUGCUAUACUGGAAGAAGGUGGGGAUGACGUAAAGUCCGCAUGGCCCUUAUGGGUUGGGCUACACACGUGCUACAAUGGCAAUGACAAUAGGAAGCAAGGCUUUAAGGCCGAGCGAAUCCUGAAACAUUGCCUCAGUUCGGAUUGUUCUCUGCAACUCGAGAACGUGAAGUUGGAAUCGCUAGUAAUCGCGGACCAGCAUGUCGUCGUGAAUAUGUACUCGGGCCUUGUACACAUCACCCAUCACACCAUGGGAAUUUCUUUUGCCCGAAAUCGUCUCUAUGAUAAACCAAUGACUUUGAUACAUUACACACGUCAAGUGCGCAGCAUGUUUUUUGCAUCGUUGAUCAUAGACACUAUCACGGCAGAAUCAAUGACUGAGGUGAAGUCGUAACAAGGUAGUCGUAGGGCAACAUAAGGCUG